rnacentral:tRNA from 1 species
GUGGUGGUAGCGUAGUGGAUAAGGAGCUGGUCUAGCAAGCCUGAAAAGUUGUGGGUUCAAUUCCCUGCUUCCACC